CCUACGGGAGGCUGCAGUGGGGAAUAUUGGGCAAUGGGCGAAAGCCUGACCCAGCAACGCCGCGUGAAGGAAGAAGGCUUUCGGGUUGUAAACUUCUUUCGACAGGGAAGAGCAGAAGACGGUACCUGUCGAAUAAGCCACGGCUAACUACGUGCCAGCAGCCGCGGUAAUACGUAGGUGGCAAGCGUUGUCCGGAUGUACUGGGUGUAAAGGGCGUGUAGCCGGGCUGACAAGUCAGAUGUGAAAGCCGGGGGCUCAACCCCCGAACUGCAUUUGAAACUGUUGGUCUUGAGUAUCGGAGGGGGAGGCAGAAUUCCAAGUGUAGCGGGGAAAUGCGUAGAGAUUAGGAGGAACACCGGAGGCGAAGGCAGCCUGCUGGAAGAGAACUGACGGUGAGGCGCGAAAGCGUGGGGAGCAAACAGGAUUAGAUACCCGUGUAGUC
rnacentral:rRNA from 1 species